GCAGACUCACUCUGUUUCUCGUCGCCUCCUCCGACCUGAAACUUUUUCAGUCUGCUACAGCGAUGGGCGGAGCUGCUCCACACGCGCUCUCCUGCCUUCAGGUGGAGCUCUGGAGCACUCCGCUACAGACUA